AAUCUGUAGAUUGCUUUUGGCA
rnacentral:piRNA from 1 species